rnacentral:rRNA from 1 species
AGUUUGAUCAGUGGCUCAGGACACGCUGGCGGCGCGCUUUAUACAUGCAAGUCGAACGAGAAGCCAGAGCUUGCUCUGGUGGAAAGUGGCGAACGGGUGAGUAACACGUGAGAAACCUGCCCCAAAGACUGGGAUAAGCCGAGGAAACUUGGUCUAAUACCGGAUACCUUCUUUUAUCACAUGUUAAAAAGAAGAAAUGCUCCGGCGCUUUGGGAUGGUCUCGCGACCUAUCAGCUUGUUAGUGAGGUAAAAGCUCACCAAGGCAUCGACGGGUAGCUGGUCUGAGAGGAUGUCCAGCCACAUUGGGACUGAGAUACGGCCCAAACUCCUACGGGAGGCAGCAGUAGGGAAUCUUGCACAAUGAGGGAAACCUUGAUGCAGCGACGCCGCGUGCGGGACGAAGGCCCUAGGGUUGUAAACCGCUUUCAGUAGGGACGAAAGUGACGGUACCUACAGAAGAAGCCCCGGCCAACUAUGUG